AUACCCUUUUGAACAACGAGAUCUGAAAUGCUAAGGAUAAAGCAGCCAUCUGCUGGCCAUGAGAAGAGAGGCAAUAGGAAAAAAAAAACUACAUUCUAAAGAUGAAGCUGUGUUACCUGUAAUCUCUAGUACUGCUCUGCCCCCUUGUGCUGCUGCAGUGAACUCGACAGAGGAACAGUGUGCCUUCGUCUCUGUACAUGAACUACAGAAAAACCCCACUGUCACUUCUCACUUUUCUGCUGUAUUACAGGAACCGUUACAUAAACGGAGAAAGUGAAAAUCAAUCCUAGCUGACAGUGACUUCGGGAUAAUCAGCGCUCACUGGAUGCCUCUGUCAGUUCGCCUGCAUCAAACACCGUGUGACUUCUGUCAGAUCUUUUUAAUAAAACUAUAUUCUCACUUUCAGCAACCUAA
rnacentral:lncRNA from 1 species